CCCUUAGAUGUUCUGGGCUGCACGCGCGCUACACUGAUGCAUCCAGCGAGUUGUACCCUUGCUUGGUAAAGUUUGGUAAUCUGAGGCUAAUGUGCAUCGUGAUGGGAAUAGAGUUUUGCAACUAUUAGUCUUGAACGAGGAAUUCCUCGUAAGCACGAGUCAUCAGCUUGUGCUGAUUACGUCCCUGCCCUUUGUACACACCGCCCGUCGCACCUACCGAUUGGAUGGUCCGGUGAAGCCUCGGGAUUGUGGUUCUUGCCGCUUUAUUGUGGCGUGACCGCGAGAACUUGUCUAAACCUUAUCAUCUAGAGGAAGGUGAAGUCGUAACA
rnacentral:rRNA from 1 species